rnacentral:misc_RNA from 1 species
GAUGAAGAACGCAGCGAAAUGCGAUAAGUAAUGUGAAUUGCAGAAUUCAGUGAAUCAUCGAAUCUUUGAACGCACAUUGCGCCCAUUAGUAUUCUAUUGGGCAUGCCUGUUCGAGCGUCAUUAAGUCCACUUAAGCCCUGCUUAGUGUUGGGAGACUGCUCCAGCGGUGCUACCCUGUAGCUACCCUGCAGCUCCUCAAAGACAGCGGCGGAGUUGUGGUAUCCUCUGAGCUUAGUAACUUGUUCUAGCUUUCGAGUACACCACUUCCCCUGCCGUAAAACCCUUAAUUUUUAAUGGUUGACCUCGGAUCAGGUAGGAAUACCCGCUGAACUUAAGCAUAUCAAUAAGCGGAGGA